rnacentral:rRNA from 1 species
UACGUAGGAGGCGAGCGUUGUCCGGAAUUACUGGGUGUAAAGCGCGUGUAGGCGGCCUGCCAAGUCUGCUGUGAAAGCGCCUGGCUUAACCGGGCGAGGUCGGUGGAAACUGGCGGGCUGGAGGCCGGUAGAGGGGGGUGGAAUUCCCGGUGUAGUGGUGAAAUGCGUAGAGAUCGGGAGGAACACCAGUGGCGAAGGCGGCUCACUGGCCCGGUACUGACGCUGAGGUGCGAAAGCGUGGGGAGCAAACAGG